UACGUAGGGUGCAAGCGUUAAUCGGAAUUACUGGGCGUAAAGCGUGCGCAGGCGGUUAUGUAAGACAGGUGUGAAAUCCCCGGGCUUAACCUGGGAACUGCAUUUGUGACUGCAUAGCUAGAGUACGGUAGAGGGGGAUGGAAUUCCGCGUGUAGCAGUGAAAUGCGUAGAUAUGCGGAGGAACACCGAUGGCGAAGGCAAUCCCCGUGGACCUGUACUGACGCUCAUGCACGAAAGCGUGGGGAGCAAACAGG
rnacentral:rRNA from 1 species